ensembl:lncRNA
GCCUUUGCAAAGCCUGACUUCAGUGAAGGCUCUCUCCUGGCAGAAACUUGAGGCACAGGAGUCGCCAAUGAAAGGGCUUUUAAAAAGGUUUUGACUUUCCUUUGGAGUUACCUGCACUGGGAAAGGACUACAUGAAGGUUGACAAGUGUCAUGCUCCAUCAUAAGUGACUAGACAUAGUUCCAGUGCUACCCAGCAGGAUCUCAUUGCUCAUGCAUUCCAAAGGCAAGAGUCUGCAUCUCAAAAAAUCAAAUACCUGGGAAUACACCUGACCAAGGAGUUCCUGAGCAUUGACCACAAUAGCCCUUUCGGUGGUCCUGGUGGCAGCCGUCCAGCCAGUUCUGCUGUCGUCUUUCUCGUGUGUUCCCAGCUGACACUACGAUUCAGCUCAGAAAAAGCUGGUGUUCAUUUAGUGGGUUCUCUUAAUCGUCAACAUUGGAUGACCAAUAAAUCUGCUCAAUAAGUCGUCUGGCAGCAGGAGGGUCCGCCUCUUCCACUCUUGGUGACGUUUCACAUUCUGGGAACCUCCUCCCGUCACCCCACAAUGGCGUUUUGUGUCUUGAUCCCCGUGGAAGAGCCCGGCGCACACACAGCUUAGCCUCUUCAUUCCUGGAGCCGUUCUACGUAUGCGAGACUGAAGCCAGGACAGAGGUCUUCAUCCUGGGUGUGCUUAUUCUUCACACCCUUCCCGAUGGUGGAGGUGAAGGUGCUGGUGGAUGAUAUAUCAGAAGCGACACCCCGGAACAGAGACCGCCUGUGACUGGAGCCCCAUUCCUGGCUGAACUGUACUGGGAAGAGCAGACCUGAGCAAGAUCUCUGAGACUUGGCCUCUGGCUUGAAGGUUGGACCACGGUGAGACUGAGAAGGCGCUUCCUGGAGGCCCCCAUUGACUCUGAAAGUUUCCAGUCUGGAAGAAAGAGAGCAGGUCGCUGCAAGCACUGAGGAUGAAAAGCCUCUGGAAACAAGGAACCGCCAGGCUUGGUCAGUGCCCCACCUGGAGAACAAGACCAGGUAGGUGACAGAAAUGAAGGGCAUGUCUGCUGAAUGAAUGUAUAGACAAAAUCAGUCGGUGACCUUAUGGGAAAAGGAAUCUCCCAGGUUUUCCUCUGCAGCAGUUUACGGACUCGUGCUUUGGAACAGCGCUCUUCUCGCUCACCUGCAGAGAUGCAGUGUGCCGGCCGCACCUCGGCGUGGGGCCUGCUGUAACCUCCCAGACUCUGCUUGGAAAUUGGACUCUAGCCUUCAGGGGCCUGUUGUGAUGGAGACACAGGGAUGUGGGUUUACCCUAUAGCACGACACAGAUCUAGCCUUUUUGCCAUACAUCCUGGGGGUCAGUGAUCUAAAAGUGUAGGCUAUUGAUGAGAAAUGCCCCCCAAACCCUGGCAAGGGAUGGCUGUCAGCCUAGUCCAAGAACUCUGCAGAGUUGAAAACUCCAGGAGAUUUCCUACAGGAUGACGGGCUGCCUCCUUGGGUUUACCAGACCGUACAUUCCAUUCAUCCCGACAGGGACGGGGAAGGUCUUUGCAUCUCCCUGGGAUCAUAGCACACUGUUGAUUUUUCUUUUUUGAGGACCGCACAUGCGGCACAUGGAAGUUCCCAGGCUAGGGGUCUAAUCGGAGCUGUAGCCACCAGCCUACGCCACAGCCACGCCACGCCAGAUCCGAGCCGCGUCUGCAGCCGACACCACAGCUCACGGCAACACCGGAUCCUUAGCCCAUGGAGCGAGGCCAGGCAUUGAACCCGAGUCCUCUUGGAUGCUAGUCGGGUUCAUUAAUUGCUGAGCCAUGACAGGAACGCUCAUUUUUCUUUUAACAUGAAAAGAACAUGUGGGGUUCCCCCACCCCACCCCAGGAAAUCCAUGAGGCUAGUCCACCAGGCAGGUUUAAAGAUCCUUUAUUACGGAAUCAGUAUGUACAAACUCUAACAUGAAAAUAAUGAGUCACGGAAUAUCAGGCUAUUUACAAUAUGUUUUUGUUUUUUACAAAUUUUUUUUACAAGAUUACGUCUCUCUAAAUAACAUGACAGACACACAUUUUUUAUUACAUACAUAAAUAAAUAUUGGCUUGAAAUGACUGUUCUAAGGGACAGGAUUUCUAGGGGCCAUCUGCUGAGAAGGCUGCCGUCUUGUUCCUGUACCCUACCCUAUAACUCAGGAAAAAUAACAAUAGCUUUACAUACAGCCUCCGUGAAUCCCUCUGUGACUGUGUAACUUGCUAAAAUAUUCAGUAGAGCUAAGAAGCUGAGUCUGGCCAUGCAAAACCACAGGUAAGCGUCACCAUCUUUAGGUAUCGAUUGAUAUUUUACAUGAAUUUUAAAGUACAUGCAACAGCUAUUUAGCCUCUGUGUUCUGGUGAAGGUGUGAAAAGUCUGUAUAACAAGACUUAGAGACAUGUGCAAUCAUGGGAAUUAGUACGUUUGGGGGCCCCCGCAGCACACGGCGCAGCAAACGACAUUAAGCAGAUAAGCCGUGAUCACAAAUGACGGAUUGUCGCACAGAAUGACUCUUUGUACUCACAUUAACACCGACGCAAGUCUAAAUUCAGCCUUUUUAAUCAGAUUUUCCAGUGGAGGUGAAAGACAGUUGCCUUACCCAGCUGGCCCCCUACCCCUGCAAUUGACCGCGCUCCUCGCGCAGGGCAACGGCUCAUCCAUUCGCGGUAGACUCUUCUGCGAUGCAGUGGCUCUCACCUGGGCUGCCCACCAGAGAGGGUGGUGGGCCGUGGCUGGGGAACGCGUGGUUCUCACAGCCUGGGGAGGGGCUCCUGGCCUGCCCCACCCUCCUCAGUGCACAGGACGCCCCCCCGGAGAGAAGCCGCACCCCCAAGUCUCAGCAGUGCGGAGGCGGAGGGAUCCGGCUCAGUGGGCUGCUUCCAGGUUCUUGCAGUUUCUAUCACGCAGGUGCACUUUUAAACUUGGGGUUGUGUUCCCUAUGCAUUUCAGAAAACUACGUCAUAAACCGCAUGUCUUAACUAUGUCGUAUUACAGCUGAAUGACGUGAGGGACAUACGCGCGUUCCUGCACAGCUGCUCUGCGGAGUCUCCUGAGAUCACGAGGGCAGCUCCGAUAAACCGUCUUAGAGGGAGAAUGCUCGUUAAGAAUGCAUAGAGCCGAAGUUCCCGUCCUGGCGCAGUGGUUAACGAAUCCGACUAGGAAUCAUGAGGUUACGGGUUCGAUCCCUGCCCUUGCUCAAGGGGUUGAGGAUCCGGCGUUGCCGUGAGUGUAGUGUAGGUCGCAGACGCGGCUCAGAUCCCACGUUGCUGUGGCUCUGGUGAAGGCCAUUGGCUACAGCUCCGAUUGGACCCCUAGCCUGGGAACCUCCAUAUGCCGCAGGAGUGGCCCUAGAAAAGGCAAAAAGACCAAAAAAAAAAAAAAA